rnacentral:rRNA from 1 species
ACGGGUGCGUAACGCGUGGGAAUCUGCCCUUUGGUUCGGAAUAACAGCUGGAAACGGCUGCUAAUACCGGAUGAUGACGAAAGUCCAAAGAUUUAUCGCCAGAGGAUGAGCCCGCGUUGGAUUAGGUAGUUGGUGGGGUAAAGGCCUACCAAGCCGACGAUCCAUAGCUGGUCUGAGAGGAUGAUCAGCCACACUGGGACUGAGACACGGCCCAGACUCCUACGGGAGGCAGCAGUGGGGAAUAUUGGACAAUGGGCGAAAGCCUGAUCCAGCAAUGCCGCGUGAGUGAUGAAGGCCCUAGGGUUGUAAAGCUCUUUUACCCGGGAAGAUAAUGACUGUACCGGGAGAAUAAGCCCCGGCUAACUCCGUGCCAGCAGCCGCGGUAAUACGGAGGGGGCUAGCGUUGUUCGGAAUUACUGGGCGUAAAGCGCACGUAGGCGGCUUUGUAAGUCAGAGGUGAAAGCCUGGAGCUCAACUCCAGAACUGCCUUUGGGACUGCAUCGCUUGAAUCCAGGAGAGGUCAGUGGAAUUCCGAGUGUAGAGGUGAAAUUCGUAGA